rnacentral:rRNA from 1 species
UACGGGGGGGGCAAGCGUUGUUCGGAAUUACUGGGCGUAAAGGGCUCGUAGGUGGCCAACUAAGUCAGACGUGAAAUCCCUCGGCUUAACCGGGGAACUGCGUCUGAUACUGGAUGGCUUGAGUUCGGGAGAGGGAUGCGGAAUUCCAGGUGUAGCGGUGAAAUGCGUAGAUAUCUGGAGGACACCGGUGGCGAAGGCGGCAUCCUGGACCGAUACUGACGCUGAGGAGCGAAAGCCAGGGGAGCAAACGGG